UACGAGGGGGGCAAGCGUUGUUCGGAAUUAUUGGGCGUAAAGGGCGCGUAGGCGGUGCGGUAAGUCACCUGUGAAAUCUCCGGGCUUAACUCGGAGUCUGCAGGCGAAACUGCCGUGCUCGAGUGCGAGAGAGGUCAGUGGAAUUGCAGGUGUAGCGGUGAAAUGCGUAGAUAUCUGCAGGAACACCCGUGGCGAAGGCGGCUGACUGGAUCGCAACUGACACUGAGGAGCGAAAGCUAGGGGAGCAAACAGG
rnacentral:rRNA from 1 species